AGAGUUUGAUCCUGGCUCAGGACUAACGCUGGCGGCGUGCCUAACACAUGCAAGUCGAGCGGGGUAGCAAUACCCAGCGGCAGACGGGUGAGUAACACGUGGUCAACCUUCCCUACAGUGGGGGAUAACUAGCCGAAAGGUUAGCUAAUACCGCAUGACAUCCACGAUCGGCAUCGGUUGUGGAUAAAAGGAGCAAUCCG
rnacentral:rRNA from 1 species